CUAAAACAAGGCAUCUAAUUCUAAUUUUCUCUACUUUUUAAUGAGUUUGUUUCUCAAAAUUUGAAUGAUUAUAACUUCUGUUUACUCAAAGCCUUUAAAAGUUUCAAAUGAUCUUUCAUUUAAAAACUUUGUUUCAGUGUUAAUUUUUAUGUCCCUGUCUUCUAUUUCCAGUAUUACACUCUCCCUUUCUCUCUCAGGUGCACAUAAACGGGAAAGAGAUGGCCCCACAACGAAGAAACAUGGCUUCGAGGAGGAAAAGAAAGAGGAGAAAACACGUUUGAGAGAUCAGCAGAGAAAGCGAAAGAAACUGCUGAGAGGACGACAUUGAGAUGAAGGGAGAAAAAUUGUUCUCGUAGGACUGAUUAUAUUAACUUGAAUGUUCUUCGACUAUGUAGUUUCUUAAACAGUUUUGUUCUUGUAGCUCUGUUUCGAUUUCAACUUAGUACAAAGACAAAAGUGAAAUUACGAGCAAUUACAGGCGAUUCAUUUGAUGAAAGAGUUCCCAUUUUUUCCAUUUCCUUUUGCAUUCCCUUUACAUAAUUCAAGCUCGAAAGUCAUUGAUUAGCCGAACAGCAAACGAAGUUGCGACAAACGAAACGUCUUUAUUAUUUGAAACAAUCUUGCUCGCAUUUUUUAGCUUCAACCAACAUGAUUGAUACAAAAUUUUCUGGAAUUAGAAUUCCAGCAAAACAAAAA